AACAAUCAGCACAAAUUCAUCCCCACGUCAGAGCAAAGUACACUUUUUAAGGUUGAAUAAUGCUUGUUAUAGCCAUUACUGUCUGCAGUUUGCAGUUAUGCUUUGGUUGAAUUCUUGCCAGAAUAAUCAACACUGCAUACAGUAGUGUGUACACAGUAGGCACCAUAAUGUGAAUAUCCCAACAUUGUGUGAAAAGAACCCAUUGACCACAGUGGGGAAAUAAAGAACCCAUUGACCACAGUGGGGCAAUAAAGAACCCAUUGACCACAGUGGGGCAAUAAAGAACCCAUUGACCACAGGAGGGCAAUAAAGAACCCAUUGACCACAGGAGGGCAAUAAAGAACCCAUUGACCACAGGAGGGCAAUAAAGAACCCAUUGACCACAGGAUGGCAAUAAAGAACCCAUUGACCACAGGAGGGCAAUAAAGAACCCAUUGACCACAUGGGGGCAGUAAAGAGCCCAUUGACCACAGGGGGGCAGUAAAGAGCCCAUUGACCACAGGGGGCAGUAAAGAGAAUAUACAACACUAAUAAAACAGAACAUUUUCAGAUACACUUACUCAUUACAAAGAGUUUCCAACUCAUCUCUUAUAGAUUAAGUUUUACUUGAUAGUGUCAUUCCUAAACAAGCACGUGAGCACUGACUACAUUUUCAACAGAAUAUUUUACCAGGUAAGGAACUAAACAAAAGUAUUACAUCCUGAUCUAAGAACCAAUGGUGAUACAAACCAGCAAAAAAAAAAAAAUGAUGAUGAAUCCUGUUGCUAGACAGAGCCCAGACAUCAUCUAUACAUGGGGGAUAUUGGGGGAGAGGGCAAAUGGCUACCAGACCAGCCACACACAGGACCAUGAGAGAGGGAGGGAUGAGAGUGAGAGGCUAGAUAGGUAUGGUACAUUUAGACCAGCCACAUACAGAAUGAGGAAUGAGAGAGAGACAGAGAUGGAGGAAUGAAAGAGUAGGAAUGAGAGAGAAACAGAGAUGGAGGGAUGAAAGAGUAGGAAUGAGAGAGAAACAGAGAUGGAGGGAUGAAAGCGAGUAAGAAUGAGAGAGAGACAGAGAUGGAGGGAUGAAAGAGUAGGAAUGAGAGAGAGAUAGAUGGAGGGAUGAAAGAGUAGGAAUGAGAGAGAGAGAGAUGGAGGGAUGAAAGAGAGUAGGAAUGAGAGAGAGACAGAGAUGGAGGGAUGAAAGAGAGUAGGAAUGAGAGAGAAACAGAGAUGGAGGGAUGAAAGAGAGUAAGAAUGAGAGAGACAGAGGUGGAGGGAUGAAAGAGUAGGAAUGAGAGAGACAGAGAUGGAGGGAUGAAAGAGUAGGAAUGAGAGAGACAGAGAUGGAGGGAUGAAAGAGUAGGAAUGAGAGAGACAGAGAUGGAGGGAUGAAAGAGAGUAGGAAUGAGAGAGAAACAGAGAUGGAGGGAUGAAAGAGAGUAGGAAUGAGAGAGAAACAGAGAUGGAGGGAUGAAAGAGAGUAGGAAUGAGAGA